rnacentral:rRNA from 2 species
AAUCAGGUAGGAUUACCCGCCGAACUUAAGCAUAUCAAUAAGCGGAGGA